rnacentral:tRNA from 1 species
GAGGAUAUAGCUCAAGUGAUGAAGCGUGUGCUUAGCAAGCACAAGGUCCUGGGUUCAAUCCCUGGUACCGCCU